rnacentral:rRNA from 1 species
GACGAACGCUGGCGGCGUGCUUAACACAUGCAAGUCGAGCGGUAAGGCCCUUUCGGGGUACGACGAGCGGCGAACGGGUGAGUAACACGUGGGUGACCUGCCCUCCAGCUCUGGGAUAAGCCUGGGAAACCGGGUCUAAUACUGGAUAUGACUCCAUGACGCAUGUUGUGGGGUGGAAAGCCUUGUGCGGCUGAGGAUGGGCCCGCGGCCUAUCAGCUUGUUGGU